GACGAACGCUGGCGGCGUGCCUAACACAUGCAAGUCGAGCGGUUCAGCGCUUUACUUUCGGGUUUUGUGCUGGAUAGCGGCGAACGGGUGAGUAACGCGUGGGUGAUCUGCCCAGGAGUUCGGGAUAACAGUUUGAAAGGACUGCUAAUACCGGAUAAUCUUAAUCGCCCAAUUUAUUGGGUGAGGGAGCAAAGUGUUUAGCGCUUCUGGAUGAGCCCGCGUCCCAUUAGCUAGUUGGUGGGGUAAUGGCCUACCAAGGCGACGAUGGGUAGCCGGUCUGAGAGGAUGUACGGCCACACUGGGACUGAGACACGGCCCAGACUCCUACGGGAGGCAGCAGUGGGGAAUCUUGCGCAAUGGGGGGGAACCCUGACGCAGCGACGCCGUGUGGGUGAUGAAUGCCUUCGGGUUGUAAAGCCUUGUCUACGGGGAAGAUAGUGACGGUACCCGUGGAGGAAGCCCCGGCUAACUACGUG
rnacentral:rRNA from 1 species